rnacentral:rRNA from 1 species
GAUGAACGCUGGCGGCGCGCCUAACACAUGCAAGUCGAACGAUUAAAGCACCUUCGGGUGUGUAUAAAGUGGCGAACGGCUGAGUAACACGUGGGCAACCUGCCCCUUUCAUUGGGGUAGCCACGGGAGACCGUGGGGAAAACAGAAUACUUCGAGACUUCCGCAUGGAAGGGGCGAGAAAGGUCCGGCGGGGGGGGAUGGGCCCGCGGCCUGUUAGCUUGUUGGUGGGGGAACGGCCUACCAAGGCUAUGAGGGGUAGCUGGGUUGAGAGAGCGACCAGCCAGAUUGGGACUGAGACACGGCCCAGACUCCUACGGGAGGCAGCAGUGGGGAAUCUUGCACAAUGGGCGGAAGCCUGAUGCAGCGACGCCGCGUGCGGGAUGAAGGCCUUCGGGUUGUAAACCGCUUUCAGCAGGGACGAGGCGAAAGUGACGGUACCUGCAGAAGAAGCCCCGGCUAACUACGUG